GCCUUCGUGGUAUAGUGGCCAGCACGCUCGAUGAGUAAUUGAGAGGUCCCUGGUUCGAGUCCCAGCGAGGGCA
rnacentral:tRNA from 1 species